AGCAGAGUGGAGCAGUGGAAGCGUGCUGGGCCCUUGCCUCCGAGGUCUGUGGAUCGAAACCACGCUCUGCUA